rnacentral:rRNA from 1 species
CGGGACACGUGGUAUCCUGUCUGAAUAUGGGGGGACCAUCCUCCAAGGCUAAAUACUCCUGACUGACCGAUAGUGAACCAGUACCGUGAGGGAAAGGCGAAAAGAACCCCGGCGAGGGGAGUGAAAAAGAACCUGAAACCGUGUACGUACAAGCAGUGGGAGCACGCUUCGGCGUGUGACUGCGUACCUUUUGUAUAAUGGGUCAGCGACUUAUAUUCUGUAGCAAGGUUAACCGAAUAGGGGAGCCGAAGGGAAACCGAGUCUUAACUGGGCGUUAAGUUGCAGGGUAUAGACCCGAAACCCGGUGAUCUAGCCAUGGGCAGGUUGAAGGUUGGGUAACACUAACUGGAGGACCGAACCGACUAAUGUUGAAAAAUUAGCGGAUGACUUGUGGCUGGGGGUGAAAGGCCAAUCAAACCGGGAGAUAGCUGGUUCUCCCCGAAAGCUAUUUAGGUAGCGCCUCGUGAAUUCAUCUCCGGGGGUAGAGCACUGUUUCGGCAAGGGGGUCAUCCCGACUUACCAACCCGAUGCAAACUGCGAAUACCGGAGAAUGUUAUCACGGGAGACACACGGCGGGUGCUAACGUCCGUCGUGAAGAGGGAAACAACCCAGACCGCCAGCUAAGGUCCCAAAGUCAUGGUUAAGUGGGAAACGAUGUGGGAAGGCCCAGACAGCCAGGAUGUUGGCUUAGAAGCAGCCAUCAUUUAAAGAAAGCGUAAUAGCUCACUGGUCGAGUCGGCCUGCGCGGAAGAUGUAACGGGGCUAAACCAUGCACCGAAGCUGCGGCAGCGACACUAUGUGUUGUUGGGUAGGGGAGCGUUCUGUAAGCCUGUGAAGGUGUACUGUGAGGUAUGCUGGAGGUAUCAGAAGUGCGAAUGCUGACAUAAGUAACGAUAAAGCGGGUGAAAAGCCCGCUCGCCGGAAGACCAAGGGUUCCUGUCCAACGUUAAUCGGGGCAGGGUGAGUCGACCCCUAAGGCGAGGCCGAAAGGCGUAGUCGAUGGGAAACAGGUUAAUAUUCCUGUACUUGGUGUUACUGCGAAGGGGGGACGGAGAAGGCUAUGUUGGCCGGGCGACGGUUGUCCCGGUUUAAGCGUGUAGGCUGGUUUUCCAGGCAAAUCCGGAAAAUCAAGGCUGAGGCGUGAUGACGAGGCACUACGGUGCUGAAGCAACAAAUGCCCUGCUUCCAGGAAAAGCCUCUAAGCAUCAGGUAACAUCAAAUCGUACCCCAAACCGACACAGGUGGUCAGGUAGAGAAUACCAAGGCGCUUGAGAGAACUCGGGUGAAGGAACUAGGCAAAAUGGUGCCGUAACUUCGGGAGAAGGCACGCUGAUAUGUAGGUGAAGCGACUUGCUCGUGGAGCUGAAAUCAGUCGAAGAUACCAGCUGGCUGCAACUGUUUAUUAAAAACACAGCACUGUGCAAACACGAAAGUGGACGUAUACGGUGUGACGCCUGCCCGGUGCCGGAAGGUUAAUUGAUGGGGUUAGCGGUAA